rnacentral:rRNA from 1 species
ACACAGGUGGUCAGGUAGAGAAUACCAAGGCGCUUGAGAGAACUCGGGUGAAGGAACUAGGCAAAAUGGUGCCGUAACUUCGGGAGAAGGCACGCUGAUGGUAGGUGAAGUGACUUGCUCAUGGAGCCGAAAUCAGUCGAAGAUACCAGCUGGCUGCAACUGUUUAUUAAAAACACAGCACUGUGCAAACACGAAAGUGGACGUAUACGGUGUGACGCCUGCCCGGUGCCGGAAGGUUAAUUGAUGGGGUUAUCC